GCAAUUAGGCAAGAGAAAGAAAUCAAGGGUAUUCAGUUAGGAAAAGAAGAAGGCAGUUCUUUAAAAUGCUAAAUAUAGGGUUUUCAUGUAGCUCAACAACUCUGCUCUUAGAUACACACCAAAGAUAAUUAAAAUAUAUUUCCCAGUCAAUAAUUCAUAUACACAUUUAUAGCACUGUUAUUUAUAAUAAUCAAAAGGUGGAACAACCCAAAUGUUUAUCAAAUGAUGUAUACGUAAGCAAAGUGUGUUAUGUCAAUAAAAAGGAAUAUUAUUCACCCAUAGAAAACAAUUAAGUCAUGAUUCAAAACACAACAUGAAUAAACCUUGAAAAUAUACUAAGUAAAACAAAGUCACAAAAGGCAACACAUAGUAUGCUUCCAUUUCUAUAAAAUGUCCAAAAUAGGCAGAUCCACAAAGAUCAAUACAAGAUUAGUAGUUGCCAGCAACUGGGGGAAGGGGGAAAGGAGAGUAACUGCAAAUAGGUGUGAAUUUUCUUUUUGCUUUGAUGAGUAUGCUUUGCAAUUACAUAGUAGAGAUGGUUGUACACUCUUGUGGAGAUACUGAAUAUAAUUAAAUUAUGUACUCAAAAUAGGGAAUUUAAAAAAAAUGCAUUUGUAAAAGAAAAAAAGAGGUUUAGUCUAGGAUCAGGGAUGUGUGUCAGUACUGCCAUGAACAAUAGAGAGCCACACAAGCCACAUACUGCUAUGAAGUGGUGGUAGGUAGAAGAGGUCAUACUUCUUGGGGGUGGCCUUUUAUGCUCCUUGGAAUAAUAACCAUGGCUUAGAGGACCUCACCUUCAUCAAAUGUGUCCCAUUUCCUAGGUAGAUCUGCUGAUAUUCAAUGGGCCAUGCAGCCAUCUCUCUUGUACGUUGGUGAUGUCUAAUGAGCAAUGCCAAAGUGUCUCCACUUCCCAAUGGUCUUGAUUUUUUUUCUUUUACACCAUGGAAACUUUGUAUCAUCUUAGGGAUAGGGAUUGGGGAGAAAAUUCCAAGAAUAACUAAAGUUUGAUCUUUUUAUCAUCUAAGGCAUUAUUUUAACUGAUUCAAAGAGAUAAGGAUUAAAAAUAAGUUUUUUCUUGUAUAUCUGAGUUUGUUGACUGAGACUCAUACUUUUUACCUUUUAUUGGAAACUUAAGUUUCUUCCUUAGAUUAUUACAAAAGAUGCACAAAAAGUUCGUAAAAACAAAGAUCUCCUUUUGCAAUUAUAGCUAUUAGUACUAUGUAAAACAAAAACAAAAUCUUUUGAUAAGGAGAACUCAUUCUUGACUCUGCUAUUUAUUCAACGAAAUUUCCAGUUCAAUCACCUAUUUGUCAAUCAAUUCAAUUCAAAUCAAAUUCUAUUUAAUAAAUUGUGUUCCACCUGUCUCUUCAUGUCUCCUCUUUCCCCGAUAAAUCCUUUGACCACUUUGCCUUUCCCUCCCGGCUGCCCUCUUGCUGUGUUUACUCCCAAUCCAUCUCUGUGUUAAGUAUCAAUCCAGGAGUCGCCUCACCAGGGCUGUUUCCUUUUCACUUGCAUGGCUUUGGUGCCUAUGUUAUAAUAAUCAGAGAGAAAGAGCUCGUGUCUGCCCACAGAGAGCUUAUUAAAAUAUUAGAACUUAUUUUGUCCAAUCCUUGUCUUUCUGGUGUGUAUAUUCUUUAGGCCUUGGCCAUCCUGUCCCACAUAGAGACUGCCAUCAUAAUCAGAAACAGAAACUUAGCUUCUGCAUCUUUUGUCCCUUCCAGAUGAUCUUUAACACAUUCUGCAAAGCCAACAACAGUCCUCUUGGUCAUCAAGCCUCACAUUUCAAACCUUUUGAAUGUUUAAAAGGUUGUGCUUAAAUGUGUGAUAUUUGCUGUCAUUAGACAACUAUAUCUUUGACCUUUUAUUGCAUUGUUUCCAUCUUAUCAAUGAUCAUUGUUUCAGUAUUAGGAAUUGAUACCCAAAGUCUUAUCUCAAGAGUAUGUGACAGAGGAAAAUUUAAACAUUCAGAAAGAUUCCUCAUGAAGCAACAAAUUAGCUUUUCAUAUACAAUAUUUGAGCCCUAGGUUUUUGUCAGGUUACUGGAUUCCACUUCUCAGACCUGUGUUUCCCAAAACAACACAAAACUAUUUCCCUCACCUGAGCAGGUUGCUUUAGAGAGAAAGCAAAAUCAGAGCUCUGCAGGCAAGAAUUAGGCAGGAGUGUAAUCCACUUUCCCAUAAAGGAAUAACCUUCUGUCUUCAGAAAUGAGGCAUGUUUUACACAUUUAUGCAUUAUUAUUGGUUAAUUUCUCAAGUCAUAGAUAGGUAACAUAUUAAAUUAUAAAAGUUGAAGGUUCCAAUCUUGGUUAGUGGUAAUUACUUCCAGAGAAUAUUGCUUGCCUCCCUGAUUGUUAACUGCAGUCGUGAAUUUACUCCUGGGCCUCCCGUGAACCUUCUCCUCAUUUGUAUGGCGCAUAUAUUUCACUCAGGCUCAAAGGCUUCUGCAGUCACUCUUACUAAUUUAUAAAAUUGGUUCACCUACAAUUUUGAGUCUAAGGAGGGAAAAUGGCUUGCACUGCUCCCAGGGAGAGAAGAUGAAUACAGGUAAAGUGAGUCCCUGAGUGAUAAUAAUGACAACCACACCAUCAUUUAUUGGGAACUUACUAUAUAUCAAGCAUUGAUGGUAUAUCUUUCAAUUUUAUUAUCAUUCAUGUUCUUUCUAUAUGUUACUGCCCUAUGGAAUGAUGAGGAGAUUGAGCUUCAGGGAGUGGGGAUAAGGAAGUCAGAUCGUUGAGCCAUUUAUCAUUUCUGGAUCUUCAGGCUUACUUAAACCUGUCUUUCGGGGUUUGAAGUUAAGCCCCUGCCCCAACUUCCUUCUCCAUCCUCCCAUGUCCAUUCAAAGAUGCAGAUUAGAUCGAGGGAAAUUUCUCUUAAUAAGGCAGGAUCUUUAUUUCAUGAGUGCUUCCUGAGUAUAUCUAAUGCUCAAGCAAAACAUAGCAAAGUCUUUGUAACUUACCCAAAUUUUUGUGAAAUGCCUGAUUUAAUGAACUUUUCCAAAGAAUUAUGGUUUCAAGUACAAGCAAUAAUACUGCUUACAUAAGAAGGAGAAUGGCUAGCCCAAAUUGUAUGCCCUAUUAUAAAAAUCUCAUUAGUAACUGACAGUGUUCAUUUGUCAUGUGCUUAUCCCAUGUGUGCAUGCUAACUGCUGUUCAAAAUGGUCUGUUUGACUUUUCUUCAGGGAAGAUGAACAUUUUCCCUGUUUAUGGGAUGCACUGACUGAAAACGUCAUGUACUAAUUUCAAUUAUUCAAAUUUAGAAUAGAUGGAACAUGUGUCAAUGAAUUAUGCUGUUGAAUUAUAACAGCCAAUAUUUGUGAAAGAACAACAUCCCACACAGACACCCUCUUUUCUUUUGAGAAAGGCCCACCAAGCCUGGAUCCCAUAAGUAUUCUAGUCUCAGGAAAGAGAAUAGUAGGAAAUAGAUUGUAUGUUUUUUUCUUCUUGGGAGAGGGUUAAGAUGAGAUGUAAGAAGGUGGGUGGGGAAGAGCUCCAAGGUGGGAAGCCACACGUGGCAUUUCUCCUGCUCCAUUUUCUAAGUUGAUAUCAAAUAUGGGGCCAACAAAUGACCUUCGACCCAACUUCAUUUAUAAUCUCUUGGGAAUUGUGCAUUUGCUGUGUCCUCCCAAUCUCAUGCAUUUACUUCCUUAAACUUCUGUCUCUGUAAAGGACUCAAUGCAGCUAAGAGAAUAGCUAUUUAAAGGGCAUGGACCAUGCCACCCUUCAUUUUAUCCCUGCCUAUUAGCACAGUGAAGGAAUACUGGAGCCUUUCCAACUAUCUGCGAACAUGUGAAUGUCUUGUUCUGGGUUAUUUACUUUUCGAUUGUCUCCAGAUUUUAGAAUAGGGGUGGUAAGAACUCUAAAUGCAGAGUCAGGACACGUCUUUGAGCACAGAGAGUUGGAAAGUGUAUUUUCAUGAAACACUUUCUAAAGAGCUCACAGAGAUUAAAGAGUUCACCAAGAUUUUGGACAGGAGUUUGAAAUUUACUUAAUUAUUUCCAAGAACAAGGCUGGAGGGAAAACAGCCUUGGUGGGGAUUUGCCAAGCUGGGUUUGAACCUGGCUGCACUUGUUUGGGUCCUUGAGGCAUCCUUCUCCUCUCUGUAAAAUCAGGGAAUUUAACUACUAUCAUUUCACCUCAAGAUAAAUUCAGGGAUCAAGAAAAUUCCAUUGUUUCACAAAACACAAUUUCUUGGAACUUCCAGCUAGAAAGGAAGUAGAGAAAGGAGGGCAAAUAUAUUGCUCCAAAGUGAGGGUGAUAUGUUUUGUGGCACUGGGUGGAGGAGGCCCUGUGAACUGUGCUGUUGCCUGGAAUCAACUCUCUAAAUGGCUGCUCCACUGUCAUCUCCCAUGCAUGUUCCUGAUAGGGAUUUCCAGACAUGUUGCCGCCACCAGCAUCCUUCUCUUAGGGAAGGGUGGGUUCUUGUUACCAGGAGGCACAGGACCUCAAGAGAAGCACCAUGAAACCAGGUAACUUGCAACUACUAUAGGAAACCCCGAAAGAUAGAGUGAUUCUGAGGCAGGAGAGAGGAAGCAAAGUGAGGGGACAGGAGAUAGAAUGUAGAUGUCUUCACUACCUAUGCAUUACUUUCAAAGGUAACAUGGCCCGUGAAUCCAUCCUUGUGAGGAACAGCCAACCCUCUGCCAUUUAGGCAAGGCCACUUAGAUUAAGAAUUAAAAAUCAUAUUUCAGCAGUUUUCUGUUUCCUAUGAUAAAGCUCAUUUUCAAAAUAUUACAUUUUAUUUCAAACUCAUAGUUUCUAUGUAUUAUAUGAGGAAUUGUAUUAAACAUAAUUAUAUUUGAGCUUCAUUUCCUCCAUCAUGCUUUUAGCACCUCUACUCUUAAGAUCUCUGCAACACUCAGAUCUAUGUUAACCAAACGUGAACUUGUGGUUCAGUCCAGGGUCUCAGUCUGCCUGCAGGGGCAUGGUAGGAGCUGCAAUGCUUCCAAGAAAAAUGUACACCAAGCAGAAUAAUGUGAUAAAUGCAAUCUCUGACACCAUUUUCUCUUUGACUUUAUAAAGAAAAUCAUAUCUAUUUUAUAAAAAAUAAACCAAGAAUAAUUUUAGAAUAGUUUCAUAUUACUUUAAGGGAAAUUUCCACUUAGACUAAAUAUCCAUAAUUGUGCAGUCAGUUACAUUCAAUCCUUUCUGCUAUUUUCCCCAAAUGGGACUUGAGGAGAUACUUUAAAUGAAAAACUGCAUCAUAUAUUUCAAAUAGGUUGAGAAAGGUAUUUGAAGUCAUAUUUCAACUUAUUGUUUAAAGCAAGUGAAUGAAAGGAGGAGGACCUGGAUACACAAGCAUUUUAUGAGACCAUCUAAAUAUUAAAACAUAUAUUACCAAGAUUACAACUGUUCAGGAACAAAAAGGCAAGAAAUAAAAUUAUGGUAUGACACUAUUAAUUCCAUUCACUUUCUAAACUCACAGCCAAACAUAGGUUAUUCAUGUAAUGCUUUAAAAUUUUAAUUUUUCAUUGCUUAAUAAAAAAAUAAGUAAUUUGGAGGUUAAAACAGUUUAAUCUUUAUAACAUGCUUCACUAGUUCAUCUAUUUAUAUAGUUUUAUUAAUUUUUGGCCCCAUAUUAAGUGGGCUUUUUCAGCUUUUUGGUCAACUGAGAAAUAUAUAUAAAAUAACUAUACACAUAUACAUUUAUGUAUACAUAUGUGUAUAUAUGAGAUAUAGAAAUACAUACAUACACGAUUUUUUUUCCUUUUUUAAUGGGAUCAUGACCAUUCAAAGAUGGCUUUCACUAAACAAGGUGGUCUUCCUGGGUCAAGCUUCUUAUCUUUGUGUUCAUGCUGACUGACAGCCGUUCAUUCAAGAAAAACCUUGUUUUAUGCAAAGAAGCAUGGAAUACGGUGUGUCGGAGAGAGGGUAAGUAUAAUACAACUCAGUGCAUCAUUCAUCCACUCAACCUGAUACCAACGCUUUGUAAACAGAAAGCCUAAUUGACCUUCCUUGACACGUAUUUCCUGUUGCCCAUGGAAAUAUUUCUAAAAGUGCUUUAAUACAUCCUCAUGCCCUGUCCUGGCCACCAUUCAAAAGGCCUGAAGAUUAAACAGGAGUGUUAUGAGGUUUCCCCAGGAGGAAGUGGUCUGCACUUCAGUCUGACGAAACUCACUCCUUUGAGCAGUGGCUAUUGCUUAGCACCUCUGGGGAGACAGCACACUUGGAGGCGAUACAAAGAAAAACGCCACUACCUUGUCUCCUCAACGGUAGGAUUUAUUUCAAUGCUCACAUACAAUUGAAUGAGACAAACUAUUUACAUAAAACAUAAGUACAAAAAAUAUAAUACAAUUUAUACUGUACAUAAUCAGGAAUCCCUCGUUUUAUUCUCCACACAAACGGCAGCUAGAGAUGGUAAGAAGGGAGUUGCUAGGAAAGGGUGACUGCGUACUCAGCAGUGCUGAGGAUAGAUCUUCAGAAUGCUUUUUCAUAAAGAUGAUGAACAGGGUUGAGAUACAGAAACUGGCAAUGCACCAAGAGCAGUAAGAGAGCACAACAUAUUCACUCCUGUAAUAAUAGCUACGUUUUUCUUUCUUAUAAACGUGUUUGUUUCUCACAGUUGAGGCUUGGAGCAGGUGUGAGUUGACUUCCACUGGUUGGUUAGGUAACCUCCACCCACCCCUACUCCGACUUCCAUAGUUGAUCCAAUGUAGCAGGUGAUGAGCUUCCAGUUGCCACAAUUGGUGUCUUAAGCUGAUUUCAGAAAACACUGUAUCUGUCAGGUGUCAUUAAGCAACGAUCUGGGAUACAGACCUAGACAGCUCUCUCGGGAAGCAUUGAAAACCAGUGAAUUGAUGGACAGGAAAGAUAGAAGUCAUGACCAUUAGAAAUUUCUAUUGCGUACAUCUAACAAGAAGGUUUUGAAGACUAUCAAUCGUUCAAAUGUAAGGAUUGAAAGAAAGUGUGGUGUGCCCAUGGCCCCCUUAGGAAGGACCCAGCAAUCCACAAGCGUUCUAGCAGAGCAUCCCAAGAUCCAUUUUCUCAUUCAAACAAAGGGGAAAUGUAAAGUUGUCUCAUUGUUUUAAAAAGCUAAAUUGUAAUUAAGAUACAUUGUCUUUCAAAAUUAAAUUUAAGAUCAGUAACUUGUCUGCAGCUUGUCUGCAAGCUUACCAAGGGCUGAAAUUGGCUUUAGAGAAGGUUAACAAAAAAAAAAAAAAAAA